UUUUCAAGCUCCAUGGAGAAAAACUGCCAUGGCGCGUUGUAGACUAAAGGGGUGUUAUCUUGCGUGGGCCGGGUAUAGAUCCGUUGGAACACGGUAUCAUAGAGGGUGAGAAUCCCGUCUGUGACUCGGUCAAUUAUCCAUGCAUAUACGUUACGCUUCCAAAGAGUCGGGUUGUUUGGGAAUGCAGCCCAAAAUGGGUGGUAAAUUUCAUCUAAGGCUAAAUAUUGGCACGAGACCGAUAGCGAACAAGUACCAUGAGGGAAAGAUGAAAAGAACUUUGAAAAGAGAGUCAAAAAGUACGUGAAACCGUUAAAGGGGAAACGAAUGGAGCUAGCAUUUGCGGCUGCCACAAUCAGUCAGACGGACUGUGGGGGGCUCUUGUGUCAAGGUUACGAAGGCCCUUUACGGGGCUUUUGGCCUUAGCAUGGGUUUCUUUUCCCAUGGAGCGGCUGGUGCACUUGUGGUACGUUGCAGGCCAACAUCAGUUUUUCUCAGCACACAAUCUUCAGGGGAAGGUAGUUGCGGCGCCUCGGUGUCGUAAUGUUAUAACCCUUGUCGUGCCAUGUGCUGGGAGAGACUGAGGAGUAGCAGUGCGCAUAAAUUCGGAGAGCUACCGCUGGGGUUGCGGGUGUGGAAGGACUGUUCCCAUGUCUUUUAACCGAGCGUGGUGAGCAGUUGUCUAUGCCGUUAAUUUGAGGAGGUCGUUCCAAUUUAUUGGAAAGGCCUGCUUGAAGAUCUGCAGCCUGACACGGGGUGUACCCAGACAACGCGCUUGUGAUGUUGGCGACAAAUGGCUCCAUCCGACCCGUCUUGAAACACGGACCAAGGAGUCUAACAUAUACGCGAGUCUUUGGGUUGAAAGCCCGCAGGCGAAAUGAAAGUGAAGGCAUACAUGGUGUGCUGAGGUGAGACGUCUUGGGCCUUCCUCCGUCAAAAAGGGGAGGGUGCAGGACCGCAUCAUCGACCGAUCCGGAUGGUUCUAUCCUGAAAGAUUUGAGUAAGAGCGUAUCUGUUGGGACCCGAAAGAUGGUGAACUAUGCCUGAACAGGGUGAAGUCUGAGGAAACUCAGAUGGAAGCUCGUAGCGAUUCUGACGUGCAAAUCGAUCGUCUGAUUUGGGUAUAGGGGCGAAAGACUAAUCGAACUAUCUAGUAGCUGGUUCCCUCCGAAGUUUCCCUCAGGAUAGCUGGAACUAAAAUAACGCAGUUUUAUCAGGUAAAGCGAAUGAUUAGAGGCCUUGGGGUUGAAAUAACCUCAACCUAUUCUCAAACUUUAAAUAGGUAAGAAGCCUGGCUUGCUUAAUUGAAGCCAGGCAAUAUACUGAAUGCAAGUUCCAAGUGGGCCAUUUUUGGUAAGCAGAACUGGCGAUGCGGGAUGAACCGAACGCAAAGUUAAAGUGCCAAAGUUCACGCUCACCUAGAACCCAGAAAAGGUGUUGGCUGAUGAAGACAGCAGGACGGUGGCCAUGGAAGUCGGAACCCGCUAAGGAGUGUGUAACAACUCACCUGCCGAAUCAGCCAGCCCUGAAAAUGGAUGGCGCUCAAGCGUGACACUCAUACUUUGCCGUUGCUUUUAUAUAAUAAUAAAAAUAAAGAAAGCAACGAGUAGGAGGGCGUGGAGGUCGUGAAGCAGCUUAGGGCGUAAGCCUGAGUGAAACGGCC
rnacentral:rRNA from 1 species